UGCCCGGNGACCUACGGGUUAAACGGACGCNGUACACUGACCGUGCAAAGGUAGCACAAUCACUUGCCUUUUAAUUGGAGGCUGGUAUGAAUGGUUUGACGAGGGCUGAGCUGUCUCUCCUGGAAUAUUUAAAAAUUAACUUCUAAGUGAAAAGGCUUAGAUUUAGCUGAGGGACGAGAAGACCCUGUUGAGCUUUAGUGUGGAAUAAAAGGUUUAUUUUUAUUAGAAUAGAGGAUUUUAAGUUUAUUCUUACAUCUUUAGUUGGGGUGACUAGGGAACAUGGAAAGCUUCUCUGUUAAUUUGUAGAAAUUUGGUUUACUAACAAGUGAUCCAGCAUUGCUGAUUAUCGGAAAAAGUUACCACAGGGAUAACAGCGUAAUCUUUCUGGAGAGUUCACAUUGAAAGAAGGGUUUGCGACCU
rnacentral:rRNA from 1 species